rnacentral:lncRNA from 1 species
ACUGAAAUCACUUUUUCAAAUUCACUGGUCUCUCUCGUUCAGUUCUCUCUCAAUUCUACGGGAGCACACACAAAAUUACUCUCUAAGCUCACUUUCAUCAUGGUGUGAGCGUGGAUUGAGAUGGUGUGUGACAAAAUAGCUCGGGAUUGAGAAAGUGAACAUGAUUUUGCAUGAGAUUUUGAAUCAAUUGUGAAUUUAGCUGAAAGAUUCACAAAAUUGACGCCAUGGGGCAUUCAAUCAAGAUUUGGAACCAGAGGUGAACCUAUAAAUGCUGAAUCAAUUGCUGCGAUCUUGAAUCAAAUGUUGAAGUUUCAAGCUGGAGCUGGAAAAGGAUGUGGUAGCUUCAAUCCAAGCACAGAUCCUUCCAGUCCCUAUUUCCUCCAACCCUCUGAAAAUUCUGGUAUUUCCUUUACGCCUAUCUUGAUGAAUGGAUCUAAUUACAGUGAAUAGUGUAGAUCGAUGACUUUAACUUUACACUCUAAGAAUAAAUUUGAUGGAUCAAUUAAGAAACCGAAUGAAAACGAAGAUAUCUUUGAGCAAUGGGAAAGGUGCAACACUUAUGUGAUAGCAUGAAUAAACUUGUGCUUGAGUCCUGAAAUAUCCUAUAGUGUCAUUCGGAACAAUUUGGCCUAUAUUCUAUGGAACGAUUUGAGGAGAAAGUAUAAUCAUGGAGACAGAUUUAGAGUGGCUGAGCUAAGGGAGGAAUUGUAUGCAGUAAGGCAAAGUGAUUUGUCCGUGACUGCCUAUUUCAUGAAGCUGAAGCCACUUUGGGAAGAGUUAGAUAGCUUUCAACCGAUUUCACUAUGCAAUUGUGGAGAGAAAUGCUCGUGUGAUCUUGGAGUAGUGAGAAGAUAUAGAGCUGAAGGAAAUUUUGUUAGGUUCUUAAGGGGAUUGAGUGAACAAUUUAUUGGUGUAAAGUUUUAGAUCAUACUAAUGAAUCCUCUCUCAGACAUUGGUUCAAGUUUUUCACUACUUACUCAUCAAGAAAUGCAAUUAAUUGGAGAUGAUAGUGAGUCUAAGAUUUUGAUGAGCGCAACAUAGGCCAAAACUCAAGACAACAACAAAGGCCCUGAAACAAACACUGGCAGAGGAGAGAAUACCUAUAGUAUGGGGAGAGGAAGAGGAAAGACUCAUGGUGGAAGAGGGCAAGGUAGAGGAAGAGUGAUCUGCAAUCACUGUGGUAAGAACGGUCACAUAGUAGAUGUUAUGUUUGCUUUCGCAAACAUGGUCUAGCACCACAUUUGAAGGAAAGAUAUGGUGAUGAUGCUGCAGUCAACUAGGCAGCCACUGAUGAGAAUCACGAUGAAACCAGUGUAGACCAAAGGCAGAAAGAUGAGGAACUAGCUUUGGAGUUCACUCAAGAGCAGAAGCUCGCUUUACUCUUGUUAGAGAAUCAUUAGAAUCAAUUUAGAUCAGUUAGUAUCGUUUAUAUUUAUAUAGCAUAUCUGUAUAUUAAUUGUAGGAUUUUAUACUUUUAUUACUUUGAUUCUUCUAGCACCUAUAUAUACCCCUUGUGUAUUGUACUUUUGAUCACACUGAAUAAUACACAAAACUCUUUCUUCAGCUUAGUCUCUUGUUUUUAAUAUGGUAUCCUUCUUGAGGAUGAUAAGUUGAUUUUCUUCUGGUGAAAUCACCGUACUUUCAUACUUUUCUUCCGUGCCAUUUUUUUCCUCUCUCUUUUGUCAAUGCUUUGAUGCUUUUCUUACGUCACCGAUUAGCUCAUCCAUUACUUACUUAUUCUCAUUGAGAAACCAUAUGUUUUUCAUCACCUUUCGAUAGUUUGUCAUCUCUUCGCACUUUUUUACUUUUCAGCAGUUUUCCGGCAGUUCGCCAUCUUUUCAGUAGUUUUUCUGCAGUUGGCCACUCUUGCGACAGUUUCGUUUGCGUUCCCUUCCUGCAGUUCCGUCUGCGUUCUCUUCCGGCAAUUUCGUCUAUGCUUCCUUCUGGCAGUUUCAUCUGUGUUUCCUUGUGGCAGUUUCAUCUAUGUUUCCUUGUGGUAGUUUCGCCUGCGCUUCCUUCUGGCAGUUCCAUUUAGGCUUCCUUCCGGCAUUUCCGUCUGCGCUUCCCUCCGAUAGUUUUGUCUGCGCUUUCUUCAGGCAGUUCCGUUUGCACCCAUUCUAUCAGUUUAGGCAUGUUUUUUAUAUAGUUGUUUCAAAUAAGUUUCAAACUCAAGAGCUUAGUUGUCUCCUCUUGCAGUACUUUGUCCUCUUUUUUCGACUCUUUAUCGACGCUUUGGUUCGUCACCGCUACUACCCCCGCCUUCGUCUCGUUGUGAAGUUUUCAAUGCCACCAGAAUCGCCGCCGGAAGCCGCCAGACGCGUCACCCAAAGUUUCCUGUUUGAUUGAAGUGCUCCUCCUUCCAGCGUCGUUCGAUCCGCGUCCAGAUCGAAGGCUCAACGUUACGCCACGUGUGGGCCAGCAGCUUCACGGACCCGCACUCGACCCUGCUGCCUGACCCGACCCGUGUACCAACCCGCGUGCCCCUCCUUGCCUCGUCAGUGCUUGAUGCGCUCUUCUUCUCCAUUCACGCGGCAUCUGACGUGGCAUCUGACGUGUUGCUGACGUGCCAACUAGUGGAACUCUCCCUAAGAUUUUUUUGGUGAGCUCUUUCCGAUUUUACGAUCCAUUUUCUUGUUCUCUGCUCCGAAUUUGCAGUUUUCUCUCCUCUCUCCGAUCUUUGUCUCUACUAUUAUGGAUACUUCAUAUAUUUUUGCUACCAGAGACAGAAAGGGUAAAUUUUGUCGAAACUGUAACUGUUCUGGGCACUUCUUUUCAGACUGUCCUUUUGUUGAAUGUCACAAAUGUCAACAGAAAGAUCACAUUAGCUACAAUUGUCCACAAGUGUUCUGCCAUUACUGCAAGCUCUCGGGACAUUUUAUUACUGCCUGUCCUACUUGCCCACCACGUCCUGGUCACCUCGAGCAUCAUUCUCAUCCCAACUUAUCCAAGAAUGCAUCUGCUUCUGCUAUCUCUGCUACUGAAUCUACCACAUCUUCUCCUCUCAACCUGCCUUCUGUCUCUCUCUCUGAUAUUGCAUCUCUUCUUAAGCAUCUUCUCUCGCUUUCUGGUAAUACUCCUGCUGCUUUUUUUACUUCUCCAGGUAAUUCUAAAUGGUAUUUUGACUCGGGUUACUUUAAUCACAUGUCUCCGUUGCGUGAUCUUUUCUCGUCUCUGUCUACCACUACAAAUGCACAUUCUGUCAAUACUGCUAAUGGUUCCAUCUUGCACGCAACACACAAGGGUUCUAUCUCCCAGUCGACUCUUAAUAUUCCUGAUACUUAUUAUAUUCCCAACCUGAACUUUAAUCUUAUUUCUGUUGGACAACUUGUUGAUCGGGGUUUUGAUGUCACUUUUUCCAUGUCUGGUUGUCAUGUACAGGAUCGUCAGACGGGACAAAUCAUCGGGACUGGACGUAAGGUCAGAAGGUUGUUUGAACUCGAGAAUCUUCAUAUUCCUUCUGUGUCAAAUCUAUGUGCUGCUUCUUCUCCGUCUACCCUUCAGUUAUGGCAUUAACGUCUUGCCCACAGCUCCUUAGGAAAAUUGCGUCCUCUUGUACCUCAGGGUGUAUUGGGUCAGGUUCCUACUGAGUCUUUUGAUUGUAUUUCUUGUCAAACUGCCAAACAACCUGCUUUAUCGUUUCACAGUAAUUCCUCUCUUGCUUGUUCUCCUUUUGAUCUUAUCCACUCUGAUGUUUGGGGCCCCGCUCCCACCGUUUCUAUGGGAGGAGCUCGAUACUUUGUCAUUUUUAUUGAUGAUUAUUCACGCUUUACUUGGGUUUAUUUGAUGACUAAUCGCCAUGAGUUACCUCGGAUCUAUAUUAACUUUGCCACUAUGAUUAAAACUCAGUUUUCCAAAGUCAUUAAGCUUUUUCGACGCGAUAAUGCUAUGGAAUACUGUGAUUCCAAACUUUUAGCCUUUCUUGCAGAACAGGGUACUUUGUCUGAGUUUUCUUGUCCUGGUACUUCUCAACAAAAUGGCCAAGCUGAACGUAAAUACCGUCACAUUCUUGACUCUAUUCGUGCAAUGCUUCUUUCUUCUUCGUGUCCUGAGUAUACUUGGGGUGAAGUUGUUCUUACUAUUGUUCAUGUUAUCAAUAGACUUCCUUCUUCUGUUCUUGGUAAUGUUACUCCCUUUGAGUGUCUUUAUCAUACCUCUCCAGAUUACAGUUCUCUUCGAGUUUUUCGGUUCUGUCUGUUUUGUUCUUCAGCCUCACGAGCACAGUAAACUUGAACCUCGUGCUCGUAUGUGCUGUUUUCUUGGUUAUGGCACUGAACACAAGGGUUAUCGUUGUUAGGAUCCUCUCUCUAAACGUAUUCGUAUAUCUCGUCAUGUUGUCUUCUGGAAGCAUCACAUGUUUUCUCGUUUUUCCUCAUUUGAGUCUAUUCCUCCCACUCAAUCACCUUUCUUCACUAACCGCAAUGUUGACCUUUUUUCUAGUGAUGAUUCUACAGGUUCUAUCUCGGGUCAUCCUCUACAGCCUCUUGCUCUUUCGCCUUCUCCAUCUCCCGAUGAUUCCAGACCGGACGGCGAUCCCGUUUCUACUAUCAUGCCUCCUCCUCCCACUCGCUCUUCUAGGUUAAGGAAUCCACCUCCUCAUCUUCUUGAUUAUCAUUGCUUUUCUACUAUUUUUCAUCAACAUAAACCUAAGUCAUUCAGAGAAGCCUCCACAAAUCCAAAUUGGCAACAAGUAAUGCAGAAAAAAAUACAGGCACUUGAAAAAGUACACACUUGGGAUUUGGUUGAUCCUCCUUCUAAUCAGGAAGUUGUGGGCAGUAGAUGGGUAUACAAUAUCAAGACUCGCUCUGAUGGCUCUAUUGACUGUUAUAAGGCACGCUUGGUUGCUAAAGGUUGUACGUAAGAGUAUGGUAUAGACUAUGAAGAGACUUUUGCUCCUGUUGCUCGUCUCACAUCUGUUAGAGCUCUUCUUGCCAUUGUUGUGGUAAAAAAAAGUCUCUCAGUCAGAUGGACGUGAAGAAUGCAUUUCUUAAUGGAGAUUUGAAAAAGAAGGUCUAUAUGAAACCACCUCCAGGUUAUCCUUAUCCUUCUAACAAAGUCUAUCUUCUUCGCAAGGCACUUUAUGGUCUUAAGCAAGCUCCUCGUGAAUGAUUUGACAAGUUCAGCACCACCAUCUGCAAUCUCGAUUUCACUUGCAGUACUCAUGAGAAUGCGCUUUUUAUUCGUAAAAGUGCACACAUGAUCAUUACUAGAGAUGAUGUUGAUGGUAUCUCUGAUCUCAAAGCCUCACUUCACCGUACCUUUGAGAUGAAAGAUCUUGGUUCUCUCAGCUAUUUUCUUGGUCUUGAGGUCAUCUCCACAGAUGAUGGCAUCUAUCUCUCUCAGGCUAAGUAUGCUUCAGAUCUUCUUGCUCGCGUUGGGAUUACAGAUAGUCACACUGAGUCUACUUCUCUUGAGCCUAAUGUUCGAUUUAUCCCUAUGGAUGGCACUGUUUUAGAUAAUCCGCCUCUCUAUCGACAGUUAGUUAGAGGUCUCGUCUACUUGACUGUCACCCGACUAGGCAUCGCCUAUCCAGUUCAAGUACUUAGCCAGUUCUUGUCAGCUCCCCGUACUACUCACUAUGCGGCAGUUCUUUGCAUUCUUCGCUACAUCAAAGGCACUCUAUUUCAUGGCCUUUAUUUUUUUGUCCAUUCCUCUUUGUCCCUUCAGGCAUACUCCGAUGUUGAUUGGGCUGGUGAUCCUACUGAUCGUCGUUCUACUACUGGUUACUGUUUUUUUUUUGUGACGCUCUCAUUUCUUGGCGUGCUAAGAAGCAAACGUUCACUGCUUGCUCAAGCACAGAAGCUGAGUACCGCACCCUCGCUGACACCACUACUGAGGUUAUCUCAAUUUGUUGGCCUCUCAAAGAUUUGGGUGCUCCUGAGUCGUCCCCUACUGAUGUUUUUUGUGAUAACCGCAGUGCUAUUCAGAUUGUCCAUAAUGAUGUGUUUCAUGAACGCACCAAACACAUUGAGAUUGAUUGUCACUUUGUUCGGCAACGUAUCCUUAUUGAUGCUGUUCGUCUCAUUGCUGUUGGAACACUGGAUCAGACUGUUGAUAUCUUCACGAAAGCUAAUCACCCAACUCGUUUUCAGACUUUGUUAUCCAAACUCAAGAUGGUAUCCUUAGCUCCCACUUGAGUUUUAGGGGAGAUGUUAGAGAAUCAUUAGAGAAUCAUUAGAAUCAAUUUAGAUAAGUUAGUAUCGUUUAUACUUAUAUAGCAUAUCUGCAUAUUAAUUGUAGGAUUCUAUAUUUUUAUUACUUUGAUUCUUCUAACACCUAUAUAUACCUCUUAUAUAUUGUACUUUUGAUCACACUAAACAAUACACAAAACACUUUCUUCAGCUUGGUCUCUUGUUUCUAACAACUAUAUCUUCUUCAGCACCAAGAGUUGCAGCAUAUAUAUAGCACCAACCAAAUAAUUGCCCA